rnacentral:rRNA from 1 species
UACGUAGGGUGCAAGCGUUAAUCGGAAUUACUGGGCGUAAAGCGUGCGCAGGCGGUUUUGUAAGUCUGACGUGAAAUCCCCGGGCUCAACCUGGGAAUUGCGAUGAAGACUGCAAGGCUUGAAUCUGGCAGAGGGGGGUAGAAUUCCACGUGUAGCAGUGAAAUGCGUAGAGAUGUGGAGGAACACCGAUGGCGAAGGCAGCCCCCCUGGGUCAAGAUUGACGCUCAUGCACGAAAGCGUGGGGAGCAAACAGG